ACAAAGGUAUUGAAAUAAGACUUUAAUUGAGUGCUAAGAGAAUGGAUUAACGGUAAAAUUCUUUUUUAAUUUCAAAAAUUGAAGUUAUUUUUGUUAGUGAAGAAACUACAAUAAAAAUUAAGGACAAGAAGACCCUAAGAAUUUUAAAUAAUUUAAAAAAAAAAUUUUUUUUUUAAAUUAUUUUAAUUGGGGCGAUUAAUAAAAAUAAGAAACUUUAUUUCUCCAAAAAAAUGAACCAUUAAUAAUGGCCAUAUGAAAAAAAUACUCUAGGGAUAACAGCGU
rnacentral:rRNA from 1 species